GUUAGGUGCCCGCAAGGGCUUAAUAGGGAAGUCCGGUGCGAUACCGGUGCGGUCCCGCCACUGUAAUGAGGAGUAAACCCGAGAUAUGCCACUGGAGCGAGUGCUCUGGGAAGGUUCGGGGGAGCGAUGAUCCAGAGCCAGGAGAACUGCCUAGCU
rnacentral:ncRNA from 1 species